UAAAGCUACUAAGAGCUAAUGGAGAAUGCCUUGGUACUGACAGCCGAAGAAGGACGUGUAAAGCUGCGAUAAGCUACGGGGAGUUGCUAAAAGACCUUGAUCCGUAGAAAUCCGAAUGGGGAAACCCUGCAAGGUUAAAACCUUGUAAUCCACAGAUGAAUACAUAGUCUGUGAGAAGGAAAGCCUGUGAACUGAAACAUCUUAGUAACAGGACGAAAAGAAAAUAACCAAAUGAUUCCGACAGUAGCGGCGAGCGAAAUCGGAAGAGCCUAAACAGUAUGUACGUGAUAGACUGCAAUCGUUGUGCAUAUUGAGUUGUGGGACUUAUGGUAUAAUUUGCAGAUUAUACAAAGAGUUACAAAAUUAUUUAAUAGCUAAAUACAACUGGGAAGUUGAGCCAUAGCGGGUGAUAGCCCCUUAAGCGACAUUAAAUAAUCUCUUAUAAGUAUCCCGAGUAAGGCGGGGCACGUGAAACCCUGUCUGAAUCCACCGGGACCAUCCGGUAAGGCUAAAUACUAGUCAGUGACCGAUAGUGAACGAGUACAGUGAUGGAAAGGCGAAAAGAACAGUGAGAAGCUGAGUGAAAUAGACCCUGAAACCGUUAGCUUACAAUCAGUUAGAGCCCUAUUGAUAGGGUGAUAGCGUGCCUGUUGAAGAAUGAGCCGGCGAGUUAUUUUAUGUUGCAAGGUUAAGGAGUUAAUAUCCGGAGCCCCAGCGAAAGCGAGUUUGAAAAGAGCGUUAAGUAACAUGAAAUAGACCCGAACCUUGGUGAUCUAACCUUGACCAGGAUGAAGCGUGGGUAACACUACGUGGAGGUCCGAACCGACUGAUGUUGAAAAAUCAGCGGAUGAGUUGAGGUUAGGGGUGAAAUGCCAAUCGAACCAAGAGCUAGCUGGUUCUCCCCGAAAUGCGUUUAGGCACAGCGUCAGAUAUAUCUUACAGGAGGUAGAGCACUGGUUUUGUGCGGGCGGCGAAAUGCUGUACCAAACAAUGUCAAACUCCGAAUGCCUGUAAUGUAACUGUCUGGCAGUGAGGCUACGAGUGAUAAGAUCCGUGGCCAAGAGGGAAACAGCCCAGAACGCCAGUUAAGGUCCCUAAUAUAUGCUAAGUGGUUAAGGAGGUAGAGUUGCAUUGACAACCAGGAGGUUGGCUUAGAAGCAGCCAUCCCUUGAAAGAGUGCGUAAUAGCUCACUGGUCAAGCGACUCCGCGCCGAAAAUACACCGGGACUCAAGCAUAUAACCGAAGCUGCGUCAUUACAGUUUACUGUAAUGGGUAGGGGAGCGUUCUGUUGUAGGACGAAGUUAGAUCGAAAGGACUAAUGGACGAAGCAGAAGUGAGAAUGUCGGCAUAAGUAGCGAAAACAUUGGUGAGAAUCCAAUGCACCGUAAACCUAAGGUUUCCCCUGGCAGGCUCGUCCGCGGGGGGUUAGUCGGAACCUAAGAUGAGGCCGAAAGGCGUAGUCGAUGGACAUCAGGUUGAUAUUCCUGAACUAUCUGGUAAUCGUUAUCAGAAGCGGAGGGACGCAGGAGGAUAGGCAUGCAGACGAACGGAAGUGUCUGUUUAAGCGUGUAGCUAGUUUGAGUAGGAAAAUCCGCUCAGGCGUUAAGACGUGAGGCGUUAUGAGGAGAGUCUACGGACUCGAAGCUGUUGAAUCCACACUGCCAAGAAAAACUUCGCAAUCGAGAUUAUCCGGUAUCCGUACCGUAAACCGCCACAGGUAGGUUAGUAGAACAUACUAAGGUGCGCGAGACAACUCUCGCUAAGGAACUCGGCAAAAUCACCUCGUAACUUCGGGAGAAGAGGUACCCUGGUAGCGUGAAGCGAUUUACUCGUGAAGCGUGAUAGGGUCGCAGUGAAUUGGCCCAUGCGACUGUUUACCAAAAACACAGGUCUCUGCUAAGUCGAUCAAGACGAUGUAUAGGGGCUGACGCCUGCCCGGUGUCGGAAGGUUACGUGGAAGGGUUAGUAGUAAUACGAAGCUCUGAAACUAAGCCCCGAUGAACGGCGGCCGUAACUAUAACGGUCCUAAGGUAGCGAAAUUCCUUGUCAGGUAAG
rnacentral:rRNA from 1 species